rnacentral:rRNA from 1 species
UACGUAGGGACCAAGCGUUGUUCGGAUUUACUGGGCGUAAAGGGCGCGUAGGCGGCAAUUCAAGUCAGCUGUGAAAUCUCCGGGCUUAACUCGGAACGGUCAGCUGAUACUGCUUUGCUAGAGUGCAGAAGGGGCAAUCGGAAUUCUUGGUGUAGCGGUGAAAUGCGUAGAUAUCAAGAGGAACACCUGAGGUGAAGACGGGUUGCUGGGCUGACACUGACGCUGAGGCGCGAAAGCCAGGGGAGCGAACGGG